UGAUUGGUUGACGGUGUAAAA
rnacentral:miRNA from 1 species